ensembl:snoRNA Gm24120 small nucleolar RNA SNORA17
UCUGAUCUAAAUAAGAGAUAUGUGGCUGCCUUGUCACAUGUGUGCCAGUAGGUGGCAGAGAGAAGAGAGGCUAUGUCUAUGCUCAGUGUUGUGACCUAUGAGCAUAUGAUUGAUUAGUAGCCUAACAUU